rnacentral:rRNA from 1 species
GAUGAACGCUGGCGGCGUGCCUAACACAUGCAAGUCGAGCGAUUCUCUUCGGAGAAGAGCGGCGGACGGGUGAGUAACGCGUGGGUAACCUGCCCUGUACACACGGAUAACAUACCGAAGGUAUGCUAAUACGAGAUAAUAUGCUUUUAUCGCAUGGUAGAAGUAUCAAAGCUCCGGCGGUACAGGAUGGACCCGCGUCUGAUUAGCUAGUUGGUAAGGUAACGGCUUACCAAGGCGACGAUCAGUAGCCGACCUGAGAGGGUGGAUCGGCCACAUUGGAACUGAGACACGGUCCAAACUACCUACGGGAGGGCAGCAGUGGGGGAAGUAUUGCACAAUGGGCGGAAAGACCUGAUGCAGCAACGCCGCGUGAGCGAUGAAGGCCUCGGUCGUAAGAC